GCCUUUAUCCCACAAAACGGCUGUCUGACCAGGUCAGACAAAAGCCAGCUUCCAUCUUCCGCCUCCAGGGGAUCUGNNNNNNNNNNNGCGGACAGGACUGUGCUGCUCGGGGCAGGGCAGGGAGGGGGCGUCGGCGCGCGGGCCCCAGCGCCCCCACCCCCGCCCCGCGCCCGAGGGCGGAGGCCAGCCUCGGUCAGUCCUACCAGCCCUCGUCUCCGCGGGCACCGGCUUUUCGCUUUCCCUGCCCGAGGCUCCGGGGUCCCAACUCCGGCCCCUGCCUUCCGCCCGCUCGCGGGAUUGGAGGUGGACCGGCAGAGCUCUCUGCGGCCGCGGCCCCUCCCUUCCCGGGGCCCUGCGCGGGGAGGCCUGUGGAUCCUUCCUCUGCACCCCAAGGGCCAGUGCCUGCGGUCCCCCCCCCCGGACCUGGCCUCUGAGGGCCAGUGCGAUGCGCGGGGCGCUUGUGCAAGUGGGCCUGUGUUUCUGCGCGCGUGUGUGUGCACGUGUGCGUGUGUGCAAGGGGCGGGAGGCGAGCCCAGGGGAAGGCUGACUCGGACAUCGGCUCUCAGAGGGGAAGGAAGCCCCACCCCCCUGCUUCCAGAAAGAGCGCCUGCGGUGAGUGUGGGGGCGACACUCCUUUUCCGGCCCUGGCCCGUGGUCGCCCCUGCUGGCGAGUCCGGGCGGGCGGUGGGUGGGGGCCGACACCCUGCCGCAGCCCCGAGGAGCCCGGAGCAAGCCCGGGGACCACCCGGCGGACACUGUUUGGUCUCGGCUCGCGGUCGGAUAUCCAAGGCCGCCGAAGCGAGUGUAUGGGGCAGACCCGGGCCGGAGUCACAACGGGGACGCGCCCCGGGAGCCCGCAGCCACCACGCGGGCGCCUCGGAGCGCGGGUCUUCCCUCCUCACUAGGAGGACAAGGAGAGUGCGGAAGGCCAUCCUCGUCCUCCUCUGGACUAGCAGGUACGCGGGAGAGAGCCCUGACCGCGGACAUACCCUGACGCCUGCCCAGAGUGGUGGGCCUGGCCCUCUCCAGCCACGCGGGUCCCUAAGGAGACCUGAGCAUCACUCGUGCCCACAGGUGCCCCCGUCCCGAGGCCAAGUCUCUGGCCCCCAGCGAGGCAGGGG
rnacentral:lncRNA from 1 species